GUGCCAGCAGCCGCGUAAUACGUAGGGGGCUAGCGUUGUCCGGAUUUAUUGGGCGUAAAGAGCGUGUAGGCGGCUUGGAAGGUCAGCUGUGAAAACUCGCGGCUCAACCUCGAGACGUCGGUUGAAACCACCUGGCUAGAGUCCGGAAGAGGAGAGUGGAAUUCCCGGUGUAGCGGUGAAAUGCGCAGAUAUCAGGAAGAACACCCGUGGCGAAGGCGGUUCUCUGGGACGGUACUGACGCUGAGACGCGAAAGCGUGGGGAGCGAACGGGAUUAGAAACCCCGGUAGUCCUGGCCGUAAACGAUGUGUGCUGGAUGAUGGCGCGAACGCGUCGUUGUCGAAGCUAACGCGAUAAGCACACCGCCUGGGGAGUACGGUCGCAAGGCUAAAACUCAAAGGAAUUGACGG
rnacentral:rRNA from 1 species